rnacentral:rRNA from 1 species
AGUGAACGCUGGCGGUAGGCCUAACACAUGCAAGUCGAACGGCAGCACAGUAAGAGCUUGCUCUUACGGGUGGCGAGUGGCGGACGGGUGAGGAAUACAUCGGAAUCUACUUUUUCGUGGGGGAUAACGUAGGGAAACUUACGCUGAUACCGCAUACGACCUACGGGUGGAAGCAGGGGAUCUUCGGACCUUGCGCGAUUGAAUGAGCCGAUGUCGGAUUAGCUAGUUGGCGGGGUAAAGGCCCACCAAGGCGACGAUCCGUAGCUGGUCUGAGAGGAUGAUCAGCCACACUGGAACUGAGACACGGUCCAGACUCCUACGGGAGGCAGCAGUGGGGAAUAUUAGACAAUGGGCGCAAGCCUGAUCCAGCCAUACCGCGUGGGUGAAGAAGGCCUUCGGGUUGUAAAGCCCUUUUGUUGGGAAAGAAAAGCAGCAGGUUAAUACCCCGCUGUUCUGACGGUACCCAAAGAAUAAGCACCGGCUAACUUCGUG